rnacentral:piRNA from 1 species
UGUGGCCAGAAUGCGGUGAUCAAAACGC